UACGUAAGGACCGAGCGUUGUCCGGAAUCAUUGGGCGUAAAGGGUACGUAGGCGGGUAUUUAAGUUAGAAGUCAAAGUCUAUAGCUAAACUAUAGUAAGCUUCUAAAACUGAAUAGCUUGAGAGAUGGAAGGGAAAGUGGAAUUCCUAGUGUAGCGGUGAAAUGCGCAGAUAUUAGGAAGAAUACCUGUGGCGAAGGCGACUUUCUGGCCAUUUUCUGACGCUGAGGUACGAAAGCGUGGGGAGCAAACAGG
rnacentral:rRNA from 1 species